UUACCCGCUGAGCCACAAGGGAGGCCCAUUGUAUAAUGUAAAUAAUAUUUAACUUUGUAGAUAUUAUACACAUAUAUUAUACAUAUUAUGUAUGUGUAAUAUAAUAAUGUAGUAGUCAUCCAUGUUUUGUGAAGGCUGUAACCUGUGCUACUGGUCGGGUCCUGCUCUAUAUUCUAAAGUAUACUAAGUAUUGCACAGAUGACUUGGAACUUGAGAUUUUUUAUUGAAGUUAAUGAAAAGGGGCGGGGCAGGGAGAUGAUAAAGCUAUGUUUUUUAGUUACUGCCAUAGACCCUUCUGCUUAUAUGUUAUUAGGGGAUGCAUGUAUGCGUUCAUGCUCAGUCAUGUCCGACUCUUUGUGACCCCAUGGACUGGAGCCCCUCCAGGUUCCUCUGUCCAUGGGAUUUCCCAGGCAAGAGUACUAGAGUGGUUGCCAUUUCCUUCUCCAGGGGAUCUUCCUGACCCAGCGUUCAAACCCACAUCUCCUUCAUUGGCAGGUGGAUUCUUUACCACUGAGCCACAUGAGAAGUCCAGCCCAUUAAGUGACACUUAUUUCUUACCAAACAAGGGCCUAGGGAGCAAAAGAUCUUUGGCAACCUCUCAUAUUUCCAUGCUUAGAAAAACGUCCUAAUUCUUUCACCCAUUCAAUUCAAAUAUAUAGAAAUAAUGUCUGAUUUUGUCUGAAACUUAAAAUGGAGAUCUUAAGCACAUAACAUGGUUAUAGUCCCAGAAAGAAAAGACAGAGAGUUAACCUGUGACAGUUCAUCUUGACUUUUAACAAAUGAAAUACAUGGAAGAUCAAGCCCCCAGGACCAAGAUGUAGGUGGGAAUUAGUUCUCCUGCAUCCCAGAGCAAGACUGAAUGUGCACAUCUGAAGUUCUUCUGUGACUCGGUUCAUCUUGAUUUAAAAUUCCAGAAAGAUGCUCAAACAGGCAAGAUCUCAUCUGAUAUUUUUCUGAGCUAAGUGCUUCAUUUUUUCCCAGUGUUUAUGACUAGUCACACUGCACAAGGAAACUUUAUCUGGAUGAGGUGUGAAGGUGUGGAGAAAUUGCUAAUAGGGUCACUUAGAAAACUUCAGUAAGUGUUUUCAAGCCAAGGUCCCCAAGGGCCGAGAGUCAUCAUGAACAAUUACUUGAGAAUCACGAGAUGCUCAAAGAGGAAAAUUGCUGAACAAAAUGGGUUGGAAGAAUGUAUACCUUUGUCAUUUCACGUUGAAGCCAGGGGCUAAAACUCACGUUUUGCACCAUUGUAAUCUACAACCAUUUAAUUUGCUAACAAGACUUCACUGAUCAGGAUUGGCAGCCUCCUCCUUCAGGAUAAUCAAAACAAGAAGUUUUUGGCUCUGGAGAGUAAAUGUUGUCGAUCUUUUAUUGUCCAGCCCCACCAUUUUCUUGCUGGCAGGCUGAGAUGAAACAGAAAGCUGAUAUUUGGAGCCACUGGAAUUGCAGGCCUUGUAAUUUAGAAAUAUCCAUUUUAUCCCGUGUAAUUUCUUUCCCUAAGAUUCCUCCGUCUAAAUCUGAUACAGGUAGGAGCCAAGACAAACAGUAACCAUUUAUAGUCAUUCAGACCAGUUUGAAUUUCACCCUAAUGUAAAGCAAAGAGAGUUUUUGGCUUCAUUUCAGGUGUGUAACAGGGGUAGAAAAUGCAUUUAAAAUUUAGCAGCAAAUGUUACCAUAUGUUUCCAUAACAACUGCAAACUUUUAUGUUAGAAAAGCAAUAAUAUAAACACGGAGGAAUCUUGGAACAGUAAACUAUUAAUUUACCAAAUAUAAAAAAAUCCAGCAUGAAGGGGCUUUUAUAGCCACAGAAGCCAUCAGGGGGGCCAGCAUCCUGUGAAUUUCUCCAUUAUGUGGCAGAACAUGCCGCUGGUUGGUUUACAUGAGCAGAUUUUUUGAAAUUAUAGGUACAGUGUCAGUUCUCCACAGUGCAUUUUUCUGAAACAAUGUGUGAUGUUGCCAGCUAUGGCUGAUUUCUUUGACCAUAGUGAGCUAGCAGAAUACCCUUUAGUAGCUGCCCCCAAAGCAUAUCUGUAAAAUAAAUCCUUUUUUUUUUUUUUUUCCCUUCACCCAUGGCAUCAGACUUAAUAAGGAAGGCUAAGGUCCUAUGCAAAGUGUAACGCCCAGGAGCAGGCUCUAGUGGUUAUCAAGGAAAAGAGGCUCAUAGAUGGUUGAUAUAUAUGAAGACAGUUCACAGCUUUCUGUCUAACUCAUCCUGGAAUCUCAGAGGGACAAGGGAAAGGGUAGGGGAGGAAAUGGAUCUGAAAAGUUAUUGAUUGAUUGAUUGGUUGUGCUAGGUUUUAGUUGCUUUUCUCCAGUUGUGAUUUGGUAAUCUCUCUAGUUAUGGUGCUCGGGCUUCUCACUGCAGUGGCUUUUCUUGUUGCUGAACUCAGACCCGAGAGUACGCAGGCUUCAGUAGUUGCAGCGCAAGGGCUCAGUAGUUGAGGUGCCCGGGCUCUAGGGCACAGGCUCAAUAGUUGUGGUGAUCAUCGGGCUUGGUUGCCCGGCAGCAUGUGGGAUCUUCCUAGAUCGGGAAUUGAACCCGUGUCUCCUGUUUUGGCAGGCAGUUUCUUUACCACUGAGCCACCAGGGAAGCGUGACUGCAUCUUAAGAAUCAGGAAUCAGGAAUUAGUAACUAGAGUUAUUGAAAUCACCACCAAGGCAAACUCAGACUUCUCGGAUUUCUUUGUGGGGCAAAGAAACCAUCUUCUUUUAAAGGAUGUGUCAGAAACUUAACAUGUGGAUGGGUCUUUUAUUUGGCAAGACACAUGAUUGUUUUUCCCCUAAAACUACCUCAGAGUAUGGAUAGGGUUUUGAAUAUGUUCCUGGAACAAUGUUACCUUGUCAUUUAAGGGAAGACAAGGCACCUUGCCCAGCCCUGAAACCUGGGGUGAUUAAAAAAAUGUUUUUUAAGAUUUUUUGAUGUGGAUCAUUUUUAAAAUGUUUAUUGAAGUUGUUAUGAUAUCACUUCUGUUUUAUGUUUUGGGUUUUUUUGGCCCUGAGGCAUGUGGGAUCUUAGUUCCCCAUCCAGGGAUUGAAUCCGCACUCCCUGCCUUGGAAGGCAAAGUCCUAAGCACUGGACCACCUGGGAAGUCCCCUGAGAUAACUGUUGCCGAAGGUUAAAGUCAAAGAGAAGAGAAGGUCAGAGGGAGAUAGGUGGCCCUAAAAAUGAAGUGCAGAACUCCAGAGGGGGCGUGCGUCCAGGAAGGGCCCUCGUACAAAUUUGAGAAGAGGCUAAUAUUCUCAAAAUUUUAGAAGGUGGAGGAAAGUGCUCCCACCGUUGCAGCUGGAGGAGGGUGUGCAUCUUGGCCUCCCUGCCCUUCAUGGUGGGACUCACAGGCUGCUGAGCCAGAAGGGAGGCAGCAGGGGCCUUGGUUACAGCAAAGCUUACAGCGUGUGUGCCAAGGAGGAGACAGAGCCUGAUGUGGAAGGAGCUGAGAAAGCCUGGCCAUGCAGGAGUAAGAGGUGUGAUCGAGAGGAGGAGACUGUGAGAUGGGGCUGGCGGGGCAGGAGCGGUCAGAGCUUAGGGCUGGGGUAAAGGUUUCAUGCCAUCACGGUGUUUGUGUCUCUGGAUAGAAAUGGAUCCAAAUUCCAUUACAGAACAUUUUGAAAGUUUCCAUUUUGUGUUCAGUGCUGUCUUCUAAUCGAGGUUUGGUAGUCAGCAGAAAGCGGACAGAAUUGGUUGUGAGAGAAAUGCCAGAUUAAAUGGCAAAAGCCGUAAGUAAAUCACGGGCUCUUUGAAAUCAGUAGUCAUUAUGAGUUGGGAAAGUUUUUAUGGAAAGAAAGAGGGAAACAAAGUGGAGCCCAGCAGAUACUGGGCACCUACUGUGUGUUGAUGCUUUGUAUGUAUUUUCAUGAUUCUUCCUCCGAGUCAUCGUACAAAUGUUGAGUACUAAUGUCUCUAUAGAUGAUGAAACUGAAUUUGGAAAAAAUUAAAUAAAGACAGUUACGGUCAGAACUUCAGUUCAGGCCAAUUUAAUGUGUUGCAAGAGCAUCAGAACCUCAAAAUCACUAACCGUGAACUAAAAAUGUUGCAGGUUUUCGAAUAGCUCUAUGAUGUAGUCAUUCUCUCACUUGCUCUCUCACUUAUCUGCUGUUGAUGUGCUAAAAUGUCAAGACAAAAGGAUCUGUGUGUUUGUUUUUAGGGAUGUGGGGAAAAAAGGGGACCCUCGGGAGGUGGUGGCCUACAGUGAAGCCAGUCUCAGGGAGAAAAUCCUCUCAAAUAGAGUAGGCAGUGGCAGCUACUAAGUGGCAAGGAGAGCAGACUUAGUCCCCGGAGGAGGAGAGAAGAAUUAAUGGAAGAAGUAGGUGUCAGGUGUGACCUUGUAAGGUUGAGGGGAGCACCGGGGUGGAAAGACCCUGAAGACAUUGGAAUGUAGAACACAUUAUCACUGGUGUUAUUUCCUGGAGGCAAGCAGAAAUGCCUUGAAAGGAGACAUAAUACAGCCCAUGAAUCACCAACAUUUUCUUCUUUGGUCUGAGCAUCUCUAUAAACAACCCUAUUUAAAAUGUGUUUCUCUUGGAAGUCACUGUUUGCUUCAGGGGUUCUUUCCUUAGGUUAUCUUUUGAGGGAUGGCCCUGGGUGGUGACAGGUCAACCUUAAGGUGACCUUUUUUUUUUAAACAGAGGCCAUAGCCCCAUAAAAGUUUUCUUCUCCCCUGGCUUCAGCUAGGCUGGCAUUUCUGACAGACGUGUAAACAGAUGCCAGCAUUGUCGCUAAUGACAGGUGAUUAUAAGAGGCAUGGGGGCCAAGGUAAUUAAACCACAAUUUGACAGGAACAUUUGGCCGUGUAAUAUUUCAGCAUAAAAAAAUAUCUUUGCCACGUGCAUCUUCCCCACUUGGUUUGGUAAAGAGACUUCGUUUUAUUCUUCAGAGCCUGGUACUUUGAGAUCUGAAACUCUCCUGCCUGAAUUCUUCACGGUUCAUGGUAGGGCUCCAGAAAAAUGCUUAGUAUUGGACUGUAGGGAUCUCGAGAGGGUCUGAGACUCUCAGCACGGUCUGCCCUCAAGCAGUAGUGGGAACAGGGUUUGUGACGCUUUGCUGGGGUCAUACUUGACAUAUUAUUGUGUCCAGUUUGAUAGUGGUAAUGCCUUCAGAGAGAGAUGUGAAUUAUUUUUAUACCAGUGUCAUUUCAGCUUCUCUCUCUAUUGCCAGGAUCUACUUGAUAUUGCUCCCAGAGAUUGAAAGAUAGCAUCUUCAAUUCUUGAGUCCCCUUCAUUCUCACUGCUGGAAGUAGGGGGAAAAAAAUCUGGAAUCACCGGUAACCUUUUGUUGACAAGGAAUGAUAGAAACAGCCGGCUAGAUAUGGAGUCUGUUCAUUUAUCCCUUAGAUUUAAAUGUAAUAUGUCUUUUAAAACCCACUACAUUCUUUCAGCUGCCAGGAUAUUAGCAAUGCCUGUAGAUCUAGACACUUAGAGACUACCCCCUGCUAACUGCUGAUGCCUUCUAGCUUGUGAUGAUAUGUUUGAAGGGAUCUUGUCUUCUGUUGGAUAAAUAGCAGACCUUCCUAGACUUACAGUUUUCACUACUGGACUAGCUAUGUGAGUCUUUUUUAUAAUCAGUGUAGUUAGCAUGUUUUCUUUCAAUAAACAACAGCCAACAUUUACUACUUAAUUAUGGUUCUGGUGCUUGUCUAAAAUGGGAGCUUUUCCCAAGCAGGUUAGCUCAUUCCUUUGCUGCAAAACCAGCCUUUUAAUACUCCUGGUGUGUUGUAUACCUGCCAAUUUGAAGAGAUUGUUAAAGCAGGCCAUUCAAAGAAGGCCAGCUUACUGGCCGGAGAGCUGUUUCUUUUCCUCUGCCGGUUCCGAUUUUCUCAAGGGAGGGGUCGAGGAGGAGAUGAACUGGCGAGUAUAGUUUGAUUUCUGCCGGAGCAGAGCUGAGCGAUUGUGACUCUGUGGGCUGGCCCCCUCCAGCGUGGAAAGCUCACGGCCAGCUUUUACAUUCUGCUUCAGGCUGCAGUCAGUUUCUAAGCAGAGGCUUUUUUAAAGCUUUGUCAGAUAGGUUAAAAGGUGUCCCACCUCCGGUGUAUUAAAAGAGAGAGAGAGAUUAAACUCACUAAGCCUGCCAUGUUCCCUGUAAAAUAUCAAGUCAAAAUGAUUUUUAAAUCCAAAGUUACCAGGCUUAGGGGGUGUGACCUUUAGUGAAGGCAGCCUCUGAACCGGGGAGGGGAUCUGAGCAAAAGACAAUCGGUCCACAGGCUGGGGGCCUCGGGAAAGCCGCCGCUGAGUCCGAAGUGAAUUGUCUUGUUUCUCUGCCUUGUGGCCGACACAGCAUCAACCACAGAUCAAUAGCCAGCCUGCCUCCUGGGCCUCGGGAUUCACCAGAGUUCCAGGGAACCAGGCCUGAGCUCAGCUCCUGGGGGUUACAGAGAUGGAUCGGGCAAGCUGUCUGCCUGCAGGAGGCUGAACAUCAGGUGAACACUACUGCAGGAGUAACUCUUUGGAACUCCUGCUAAAGCGUCCAAGCGCUUUGUGUGUGUCGGUAAUAAUGGUACUGGAGCAGGAAAUGGCAAGAAUACUCCAGUGUUCUUGCUUGGAACAUUCCAAGGACACGGGAGCCUGGGGGGCUACAGUUCAUGGGAUUUCAAAGAGUUGACAGGCCUGAGUGACCGAGCACGCACCAUAUGAGUUCGUUUCUCAGUGACUGCUUCUCCAUGCCAGGCCCGGAAUUUUUAAGAGCUUUAUGUGAAUUAAUUUGACCUCUACAACAAUCAGUAUUUUUUUUUAAAUAGUAUCCCUAAUUUUAACAAGGGCAAGACAAGCCAAGGCAAAAAGAUGUUAAGUAAAUUUCCCAGGAACAUGGGUCUGGGAGGCAGAGGAGCUGGAGUGCUAUAGCAGGAGGUCAGGACACUGAGCCUGAGCCUGGGGGCGUGUCCUCGGGGUCACCAUCGGGACCACCUUGUGGACGUGCACACACGGAUUGCAGGUGGGGCUUGAGAAUGUGCAUUGCUAGCAAGUUCUCAGAUAGCGUUGAUGCCCACGGCCCUGUGCCAAGUGGAGGAGCACAGUGGAAAAAAUGAGAUACUGUGUUACUACUAUAAACAGAGGGGCUUCCCAUGUAGCUCAGUGGUAAAUAACCCGUCUGCCAAUGCAGGGGUCGCAGGUUUGAUCCCUGGGUCGGGAAGAUCCCCUGGAGGAGGAAAUGGCAACCCACUUCAGUAUUCUUGCCUGAAGAAUCCCAUGGGCAGAGGAGCCUGGUGGGCUGCAGUCCAUGGGGUUGCAAACAGUCAGAUACACUUCAUGACUAAGCACACACCAAUAUAGAGUGCUUUGAGAAUACCAAUUGCAGUGAUAUUAUUAUUAUUAUUGUUGUUGAUGUUUUAUCAGCAUCAUUAUUAUUGUCAUGAAAGCAGGUAUUUAUUGAAUGCUGCUGCUCUUUACUGGGUACUGUCUGGAAGCCAUGUAAGCAUUGUAACUGCUUCUGUGGGCUAUCUCAUGUAAUCCUCACAAUAGCCAUAUGAGGUAGACACUAUUGUUAACCCCAUUUUAGAGUGAGGAAACUGAGGCACAGUGUUCAAACUUGUUUCAGCGCCAGAAUGAGGACUCAGACUACCCCCAGGGUCUUUCCAGGUUCUCAACCACAAAGAGGGUGAUGAACCACUCAGGGGCAUCAGCCACCUCCAUAAACAGGGAACCUAUGAGUGGGGCCCUGAGGGAGGUGGGGGAGGGAGCAAGCCCUUCCCAAAUGAAACAGAAAUGUGCAAAGGCCCAGGGGCAUGAAAGCAAGAGGUGUGAAAAGGCGUGAGUAACAUGGAGCCUUCUGUGUACACUGUGUGGCAAGAAACACAGCCUGGUGAGGCUGGGAAAGUAGGUUGAAGGCCUUGAAAACCAGGGGUCAGUGGUGCUCCCGAGUGGACCUGGAGCUUUUGAGCACCUCUCUGGGGCACCCUUUUCUCAGAACUCAUCCUGAGACUUCCAAACAGUGAUGGAGUCAUGCUUUGUUCAAGGUGCUGCCAGGCCACCCCCUCCCUGCCUUUCAUAGCUUCAGAGUGUCCAGAACACAUUCCAAGAAGGGUUUGAUUUCUAAGGUCAUUGACCCCGUGACAGUGACUCAUGCAUGCCCUGCCCAGGGACGGGUGAGUUUUGUACACCAGCCGGAUCAAAAACAAAUGGGCGCAAGUGCGCGUGCACGGCCGUGAGUGUGUCGGUGUAUGCAUCCACAUGGCGCACUUAGAAGAGGCCUGCCGUGGCCCUGGUGCAGUGGUAUCAUUGGAGCUGCCAGCUUGUUUUAUUUCUGAUCUCGCCUGGCAGCCCCUGAAGGAGGCGAGAGUAGGAAUUUUUAUCUCCCAUUGACUAGACUUUCAUUAUAUUGUGCUUACAGACACAGUGUCAGCACAUAAAAUGUUAAACAUCACUGGCCUGAAAGAGGUUCCCAUUGUCUUAGCUGUGGUGCUGGGGGAAUCUCGCUAGCCUUGCCGUAGUGGUUCUGUCAGUGUAAUAUGACAUGAAGCAUUUCUCAGUAAUGACAGACAUUGCAUAUGAGUGACAGGAACUCUGACCGCGAAGAGUGGGUUCAAUUACCAGAGACGGGGGGAUACCUGAGAUAAAACGAAAGGGCCCGAUUGAGCUUGCUUUCGACCCCUUGACUCCCAGAUCCAGAGCAGCCAAGACAAAUGGCUGAUUAACCAGUCCCUAACCCUCUUUUUUCAGUGAUAAACUUGUUUGGAUUUCUCUGUCCGGGAAUUAAAAAAAAAGAAAAAUCUGUGGUUGGUGUGUUUCUAAAGGAAACAUGAUCAGAAAACAAGAGGGCUGCUUGGUGCGAGUCAGUUUCAUCUCUCAUCAGCACACAACCGACAACUGUCAUUCUAUCCUGGAAUGGAUCUAGGGCGCCGUGUCCAGAAAUCAAUACAAGAUCAAUGAUGGCUUGCUCUCUGAACUCCGCCUCUCUCCGGCUGCCACUCCCAUGCACCUGUAGCCAGGCUGACGCCAGCGUCAAUGAGAGAUCCCGCCAUCAGAAGCUCUCCUUUUUCCCCUUUCUCCUCCUGUAGUCCGCUCUGCUCAGCAUCGGGUGCCGCGUUAUGCGUGUUUAGGGACCACCGCUUCCAGCUCCCAGAUAAAAUUCUCGUGAGCUGCCCAAUUAAACUGUUGCAGGCCGCCCUCAGUUGACUAGCUCUGCAGAGUCACUUAGCCAACAGACAUUCCUGACUAUUAAAGCCAGUAGCAGCAUGUCUCCAGAGCUGGAGAUAAAAUGAAUGAAAUUUGUUAUUCUGGGCUGACACUUGAUCCCGGCUGUUGAACUAAUGCUGUUGCACCUGAAGUUUUCCUUUAUGGUAAUUGCUGUCUGUGUUAUUAUUUCAUAGACUAAAUUGGAGAAAAUUGCAACAGGUAUUAAAUUCUUGGAGCUCAUUCAUGGGAGUUCUAUUGUGCAUUCUUCCAGGGUAGAUUCCAACUUCGGUUCAAGGCUGGGAAGACGGAUUUUGCCAGCUAGAUGCACUGGCUUGUGUUUCAUUAUUAUCGGAGACUUUCCAAUUUUAGGUCUCGUCAGACAUUUAUCAGCUUUGCCUGAAAUCUGCUUUUCAAUCCACUUUUGUUAUUAAUUCAGUCAGCACAUGUUGGGAUGGGCCCCCGGGGAAUUGUUAGAAUAACCAAUAUCAUCAGCAAUUUGCACCAGUCUGAUCCAUGACGCAUCUUUGGUGGUAUCGCUGAAUCUCUUGCAUCAUGAACUCUUAGGUAAAGGGCAGUGUGAAAAAAGACUUCUCACAAGGCACCUUUGGCAUCCACCACUCUGGCUGGUAGUUCUUGAGCACCUCACGAGUAAUCACUGGAACAGGUAUGCUGGGGAUGUGAUGUCCGCAGCCUCCCAAAGCAUCCGAAUCACUGGUUCUCACUCCUAAGUCAUCUUCACUGUCUCCUUGUUUGCAUUAACCUCUUUCACUGGGUCUCUUCCCAGAGCUGUGUGUCUAGCAUGUGAGUCACUCAGUCGUGUCCAGCUCGUUGCAACCCCAUGGAUUGUAACCCUCCCAGGUUCCUCUGUCCACAGGAUUCUCCAGGCAAGAAUACUGGAGUGAGCUGACAUUCUCUUCUCCAGGGGAUCUUCUCGACCCAGGGAUCGAACCCAGGUCUCUUGCGUUGCAGGCAGAUUCUUUACCAUCUGAGCUACCAGGGAAGCCCAGUAUAAUAGCUGCACAUGUGUAUUUCAGAUCCAGAUCUCAUUCUUCUUCAUAUUUCUGCUUCUGUAUCUCACCAGCAUGAGUGAUAAGCUCUUCUCUCCAAAUCUUGCCUGCACUUACUCUUCUGUAUCUUUUGAGUGACUGAUAGGGCCUUGAUUAUUUGGCCUAUUUUGUGUGGAUUGCACGGAGAACAUGGCAGCGACCUCAGCCAGAGAGCCUGCCUCAGAGCUUGCUGCGUGCAUGCUGAGUCACUUUAGUCGUGUCCGACUCUCUACGACCUUAUGGACUGUAGCCUGCCAGGCUCCUCUGUCCAUGGGAUCCUCCAGGCAAGAAUACUGGAGUGGGUUGCUAUGCUCUCCUCCAGGGAAUCUUCCCGACCCAGGGAUAGAACCUGUGUCUCUUAUGUCUCCCUCAUUGGCAGGCGGUUUCUUUACCACUAACGCCACCUGAGUUAGGAGUCAAAAUUUGAAAGACCCCUGAGGUCAGGGCAGCAGAGAGGCUGCCUGAGAUUUGGGCUUUCCGAAGACAAAAAUUGAAGGAAACCAAACCCCUUCUCUGUUAGUAUUAGGAAUUCAGCCACCUCUAGACAGGUCACUAGAGUAAAAAGAUUCUCAAGAUAGCAAAUAUUUGGAUGAGGGGAAACUGGUGCAUAAGCAGGAAGGCCUCUUGAAAGUUUAUCCUGCAAAUCCUGAAGUAAUUCCGUUCUUCUCUCCUAGACUUGAGUUAGAGAGCGUCAGACCUUGUGUAAGGGCGUCGCACUCAUUGUAGCAACUCAUCUCAUUCACCUUCAUGCAGAGAGGUUUUUCCUUACUUUCCCGAUGAAGAAGCUCGGUCUCUGAAAGCUGAUGAAAUAAUUCCCACUUCACGUUUUUAUUUCUUAAUUAAUUAAUUUAUUUGUCUGGGUCAGGGCUUAGUGUGGUGCGCCAGCUUAGUUGCUACUCACCAUGUGGGAUCUUAGUUCCCUGACCCGGGAUCAAACCCAUGUCCCCUGCAUUGCAGGGCAGAGUUUCAACCACUGAACCACCAGAGAACCCUCCGCUUCACGUUUUUAAAGUCAUGUUAGUGGUAGGGACUCAACUUGGGUCUGUUGCUUCUGAAGCUACGGUCACCAGCUUGAGAUUUGUGCCUCUGUGAGAUGACUUCCUCUUGUCUUGGAAGGUAGUGGAACUUUGAGCAAGGAACUUUGAGCAGAUUGCUAAAAUUCCCUGUAGUUGUUCCUAAUAAUAAUGCUAACCCAGCACUAGGCUUUCGGCCACUACUAUGAAAACGAAAAACCCUGCCAGAGCGUAAAACAAAGUGUAAUUCUUCAAAUAUAAACUUUAAAUCUGUUUUCACAAGCCUGAGUUAUUUAGAAUCGGUUGAGCUCCCUGCCACAUGGAUCAUAGCAGGUCUUUUUCAAGGCCAGGGGUUGGCAAACUUUUUCUGUAAAAGGUCAGAUAGUAAAUAUUUUAGGCUUUGGGCCACACGGUCUUUGUCACGGUUGCUCUCGAAGCACACGAGCUGCUGUCGACAAUAUAUAAAUGAACCUGGAGGGUGGGGUUGGGGGGGCUGUGUUCUAGUAAAACUUUAUUUACUAAAACAGGUGGCAGGAUUUGGCCCAUGGACCUUAGCUUGCCAAACCCUGGCCUAAGAGCCUUGAGGAAGACACAUGUUUACAGGAACCAGAACACAAGCAGAAUUACUCUCUUUUCAUUUAUUAGUUGAUACAUAGAUUGCUAGGAAGGGAGAUGUCCUCUCAGCAUAAUUUGAAACCAUUCCCGUUGGCUUGGAUUUUAAAGUUGUUUUCUUUCUCUUUUUAAAAAUUUCUUCUUUAAGCACAUGUUUAAUGUGUCCAUGUUCUUUCCAUUAAAUAUCUUGGUUGCCUUCCCAGACUUCAAAUUGCAGCGAAUUUAUCCCCAAAGGAUGUUUGGUAUCAAUUCUCAAGAUGCAAUUUGAAUGUAGUCUGUUUCUAUAAUGGAAGCAGGAUUCCAAAUCUUCAUUAUUUAAGUUCCAGAGAAAAUAAUGAAUCAUUGACAUGGCUGUUACUCAGCACUGUUAAGGUAUACUGGACCCAUUGUUUUCUUGUCUUAUAGCUUUAUACCAGCUCAAAGGAUAAAACAGUAUAAAGAUUUAAUAUUAGGGCUGCGUAUAAGGCAUUAGAUUAUGAUUUCUAGCUAAGCCAUGCUAAACUCAGAUUAUAACGAAACUUUUUUUUUUUUCAACUCACAAUUUUCCCUGAGGUAAAACUGAAAACAAACAACAACCAAAAAAGAAAAAAAAGAAAAAAACUAGUUUGUGAGUCCCAGAAUCAUUUAUCCUAACAGUUGUAAUAGUUUCCUUGUUGUUACUCCAGGCCUGUAAUAAUGACCCCUUUUAUAAAACAUCCCAUCAUGUUGUCAGGUAUAAUAGGGACUAGUGGCAUAAUUUUCCUUUACAAGGAAGGAAUUAGUAGUGGUACUAGGAUGAUAGUGGUAGUGUUGUUUAAGUGGUGGCAUGCGCAAGCAGUUAGUUGUGCUCUUUGAAAGUCCUAAUAAAGGCAUCUCUGAUGUCCUCAUCUUCCCUGCCCAAGGGUAACUGUGUUGGGGAGGAGGGAAGAUAGUAGAAGGAGCUGCAUUUCAACACCUUGCCACCUGCCUGAAGCCCGUGUCUGCUCUCCCUACUCUUCCUAUAAAGUAAGGCACUAGUGUUCUUCUGAUUUAUUCAACAUUGUACACACACAAUAUUUAGUUUCUUCAUUCUGUCUUCUGUGUUUUCUAGAGCAACACCACAGGGCAGCAUGCAUUUUGCGGUCAAAAACCCUAUUAUCUUGGAUGAGCCAUCUAACUUCUCUGACCUUCAGUGGCCUCUUUUAUAAAAUUGGGAAGACUAAUACCAACCUUACAGUGUAACUUUGAAACUUAGUGCAGAUGUAUAUAUGUGUAAGUGCUUUGUAAAUGGUACUUGCUACCUAUGAGUCAUUUUUGCUAUUUGACUAGAGACUGCCUUUGCUUUGUUUGGGAGACUCCUCUACUAUCAUUAAAAUAGCUAAGUCCAUAGUCCUUUUGGAACUUCGUGGAGUUGCCCAUGUGAGAAGCAGCUUAAUUUCAAAUCAACCAGGAUGGGUCCAUGGACCCAGGAUGGGUCCAUGAUCGAAUGCCAGGGGGCACUGUUCCCAUUGUGUUGAAUACAUGGUACCCUCAGAAACACAAUUUCAGUACUAAAAUGAAUUAGUAAAAUUAAAUGUGCAUUAAUUUUUUAAAACACCAUCCUUGUAGAGAAGCGAGACAAAAAGAAGCAAAUGUAGAAAAAUAUGGGAAACCUAUUGAAAAGUGUUCAUUUCUCAUUUCCCUUGUAACUGCUAAUUUGGCACUCAUUAUUUGAAACCACUGUUGGUUCUCUCAGCAUACGACGUUUUAAUACACAGGGCAAUUUUUUCUCUUUUACCCCCCUUUUAGGAUCUUUUGCUGAUCUUGGUUUUUAUUGCUCUGGAGAACUACCUUCCAAAGCUCCUGAAAGUAAAUUUCAUUUAUGUCCUUCGUCUGUAUUUAGAAUUGAGCCAAACGAAGAAUGUCCUCUAUGUUGGGUGACCGUCUUGUUUGUCACUUAUAUGCAAUGUGGUCACAAACAGAAAGAAACUUAAUUUUCUGUAUGUAGAUGUGAGAGACAGGUGGAUACAAACCGUAAGAUUCUAGUACCUUCUGCCCAUGUCAAAUAAGCUAAACCCUUCCCAAAAAGCCAGCCAGGAAAACAUAUGAUACCAUUUGCAAUGGUAGAAUGUUGCACGCUGUUCUUCUGUAAUUAUAAUGGCCUGAUCCGUGUGGGGCGGGUGAGUCUUGCUUAACCAUCAUUAAUCUACUGAGUCUUGGUAUCAGCAUCCCAUCUUGAGGAGCAGCAGUGCUUGGCUGGCUGAGUAGGGCUUUGAUUUCAUUGUAUUAAGGAUAGCUUUGUUAAAAUUCUGCGGCUCGGUGGUACCCAAGGAUUCUGGGAAGAGGAGGCUCUGUUCUUAUACCCUCUGCCCCUGGGAAAAGAAAAAUGCCAACAUCUGCCUGCAGUAAAAAGAGCCGGAGUUCUGUGAGAUCACAGCUCAAAUACAUACAGGGAGAGAGCAAGCACCUUCUUUAAUCUGCUGGCUCUCUAUCUCAAGAAACUCAGAAAAUAAUUUGGAUUUUUAAUGUGGAAAAGCAGCUCGGGCAAUGUGGCUGUGAACUGGUGUCUGAAUUGUGUCAGGCUCUGUAGUCCUGUUAAGCUCGGAGAAAGAAGGUGGCCAGGACUUUGCCAGGGACAAGCUUCAAGGAAAAAGCAGACCGAUUGCAGUGGCAGAAAUAUCGCUUGAGGAACAUGACCAGGGUUGAGAAUCCAGGUGGGUACAACUGUCCUUUUGUUAGUAGGAAAGACCCCAGAAUCACCUAUGCCAUGUAUUGUGAAAAUAAUAGUGGACUGGACCAUGAAUUUCUGGUGAUAUAAUGGUCCGGCCAAAGCCUAAGCUUAAUGUGCAGUGACUCACCGUUAGAGAAGGAUUUCAGUUAGGUACCAUUUUCCAUCAUCUGUUCUUUUUUUUUCCCCCCUCUUAAUCAUACAGACCGGCAAUCAGGGAGGUGACAGGUUACAGUAAAGCAGGCUUGGAUGAAAAGACUUGCGGCAGCUGUGAUGAGCAGGCCAGCACUUAGACUUUUUGCAGGAUCAGUAGCAUCUUCAUUCUGACCAGAUGUACCUUGUGGGGAUGUGAAGAAUGCUUGGAUUUCUCACUAGGAGCUAUGGAUGUGAAACUGUUUGAACUUUUUGAUAUUAGCAGGUAAUUCACUAUUGUAGAACCGUACAGGCCAGGGACUUUCCUAAUGGUCCAGUAGCUAAGACUCCAUGCUCCCAAUAUAGGGUGCCCAGGUUCAAUCCCUGGUCGGGGACCUAGAUCCUACAUGCCACAACUAAGGAGUUCUCAUGUUGCAACCAAAGAUCGCGUGUGCUGCAACUAAGAUCCAACGCAUGAAUGCUUAGUCACUCAGUGGUGUCCAGCUCUUUGCAACUGCAUGGACUGUAGUCCACCAGGCUCCUCUGUCCAUGAGAUUUUCCAGGCAAGAAUACUGGAGUGGAUUACUACCAUUUCCUACUCCAGAGGAUCUUCCUGACCCAGAGAUCGAACCUGUGUCUCCUGCUUUGCAGGCGGAUUCUUUACGCGCAUGAGCCAUCAGGGAAGCCCCAAGUCCCAGUGUAGCUGAAUAAAUUUUUAAAAUGUUAAGUUAAAAAUAAAUAAAACCAUUUUAGUCAGAUCAAAUCAUCUGUAGUAAGCUGUGCUUUCCAGGCUGCUAGUUAGUACACACUGAUAUGCAUAUAUGCAUAAUAUGGUAACUUUAGCAAAAUGGGGAUCUCCUCAGUAAUAAAUUGACCAUGUGGAAACAUUUUUUUAAAAAUAGAAAGACACUCAGCCACAAACAAGUAGUAAUGUUUUGGGAAUAUUUCCCUUUGAGUCUUUGUCUAGUGCAUAUGCAUUUUAUACAGAUGUUUUAAAAUAGUUGUCAUAGCCUUUGUUUUCUCACUUACAAUUAUAGGCAGUUUUCUUAUAUGACUGCAAGAUAUUCCAUCAAGGAAAUGUAUUGAAUAUGCAAAAUCAUUCCUCUAUUGUUGGACAUUUAAGUUGCUUUUGAUCUGCCACCAUUAUAAGUAAUGUUGCAAUUACAUAUUUACUGAUACUGCUUUUUCCUUAUUUUGGAUUACUUCCUUAGACUCUGAAAGGAGGAUUGCUUAAUCAAGAUAUGACUGUUUUUAUGGUUUUCAGUCCGUAUUGCCAAAUUGGUUUCCAAAGGGGUUGCACCAGUAUGCACUGCAAUCAGCAAAAUAGGAGUAUGCAAGUUUUCAGUGUACUCUUGCCAACAUUCUUAUAGUUUAGAGAUUCCCUCUAGCCAACUGGUAGGUAAAAAUCAGCCUCACUGAUGUUUGGAUUUGCCUUUAUUUGAGGUUUUUCAUACAUCUGUUGACUAAUUGUACUUAUUCUUCUAACAUCUGUAUUUUCUGAGGCUAAAUUCUGUUGAGGUUUGGUUGCUUUUGUGUGUGUGGUUUAAAGUUGUCUCUGUUAACAAUUGAUAAGUAAUUUGGGAAGAGCCUCCUUGGCCAGUCCCUCCUCCAGGGGACCCCCUGUCUCAGCACGGCUGCAGCUGCCACUUUUAACUGUGCAUUAACUUGGACUUGAGCCAGCGCCCAAGCAGGGUCCCCUUCCUAAAGAGGGGCUCUUGUGUGUCUGGUGAACUGCAAGCUCAGGACUGUAUCUGCCAAUAUGCUUCUGGCAGAGCCUUCUAAUAAAAUCCCGUCCACACUCUUCUAUGAAAUGCAGUUGCAAAACUGAAUGAUGAUUACCUGAUGCCCUUUUUCAGUAACAGCCAAUCUUCAUGUGUCAGAUAGUUUUUCUGUUGCCUCCCCACUUCCGUCCUUCACCUCUGUGUUUCGUGCGUGUUCUAACUACAGUAUAGAUGAGGUAAAAUCUGAGUUUCUUAUAACAUGAUCGAAUGGAAUGGGCCUCGAGCCGGUAAUAUGGAAGAAGGUUCUGUUAUUGGCUCUGUCCUUUGGUUAAUAAUAGCUAACAACAAGAAUGUAUUGAAUGUUGAGAUACUUUCUUAGCAUUCUUCAUAUGUUAUUGAAUCUUCAUAACAAUCCUACUAAGUAGAAAAUGUCAUUAUCCCAUAGAGGUAAGGAAACGGGAGCUCAGAGAGAUGACUGUUUGUCUAGUGUCAGACUUCAUUGUUCUGGACGAAAGUGAAUUUUUCAUUACUCAAGGUCUCAGUCUUCUCAUCUGCAAGAUGGAGUUGCUUCUCUUCACCCAUAACAUUGGCAUGGAACCAAAAUGAUGUCCUGUAUUUUAUUAAGGUGGCUUCUCAGAUGGCGCUAGAGGUAAAGAAUCCAUCUGCCAAUGCAGAAGACAGAAGAGAUGUGGGUUUGAUCCCUGGGGUGGGAAGAUCCCCUGGAGGAGGGCAUGGCAACCCACUCCAGUAUUCUUACCUGGAGAAUCCCAUGGACAGAGGAGCCUGGAGGGCUACAGUUCAUAAGUUCACACAGAGUCAGACACAACUGAAGCAACUUAGCAUACUCACACACAAACACACUUAUUAUUAAGUUGCAUUGAGUAUUGAACCCAGGACGUGUACACAAAGGUGUAGUUUUUGACUAGUUUACCUCUCCGGUGAUCAGCUUCUUCAUUCAUAAAGUGUAAGUACAGGACCAGAUUAUUUUCAUUGGUUGCUUUCAACUAUAGUAUCUUCUCAUUGGCUACAGACUCAAACCUUGGUGAG